UACGUAGGGGGCAAGCGUUGUCCGGAAUCAUUGGGCGUAAAGAGCGUGUAGGCGGUCCGGUAAGUCGGCUGUGAAGGUCCAGGGCUCAACCCUGGGAUGCCGGUCGAUACUGCCGGACUAGAGUUCGGAAGAGGCGAGUGGAAUUCCCGGUGUAGCGGUGAAAUGCGCAGAUAUCAGGAGGAACACCGGUGGCGAAGGCGGAUCUCUGGGCCUUACCUGACGCUGAGGCGCGAAAGCUAGGGGAGCGAACAGG
rnacentral:rRNA from 1 species